rnacentral:rRNA from 1 species
UACGUAGGCAGCAAGCGUUGUUCGGAAUUACUGGGCGUAAAGAGUGUGUAGGCGGUGCUCCAAGUCUGAUGUGAAAUCUCCCGGCUUAACUGGGAGGGUGCAUUAGAAACUGGAAUGCUAGAGGAUGGGAGAGGUAAGCGGAAUUCCUGGUGUAGCGGUGAAAUGCGUAGAUAUCAGGAGGAACACCUGUGGUGUAGACAGCUUACUGGACCAUUUCUGACGCUGAGACACGAAAGCGUGGGUAGCAAACAGG